rnacentral:rRNA from 1 species
UACGGAGGGUGCGAGCGUUAAUCGGAAUUACUGGGCGUAAAGCGCACGCAGGCGGUUUGUUAAGCUAGAUGUGAAAGCCCCGGGCUCAACCUGGGAUGGUCAUUUAGAACUGGCAGACUAGAGUCUUGGAGAGGGGAGUGGAAUUCCAGGUGUAGCGGUGAAAUGCGUAGAUAUCUGGAGGAACAUCAGUGGCGAAGGCGACUCCCUGGCCAAAGACUGACGCUCAUGUGCGAAAGUGUGGGUAGCGAACAGGAUUAGAUACCCUGGUAGUCCACACCGUAAACGCUGUCUACUAGCUGUGUGUGUCUUUAAGACGUGCGUAGCGAAGCAAACGCGCUAAGUAGACCGCCUGGGGAGUACGGCCGCAAGGUUAAAACUCAAAUGAAUUGACGGGGGCCCGCACAAGCGGUGGAGCAUGUGGUUUAAUUCGAUGCAACGCGAAGAACCUUACCUACACUUGACAUGCUGAGAAUUUACUAGAGAUAGUUUAGUGCCUUCGGGAACUCAGACACAGGUGCUGCAUGGCUGUCGUCAGCUCGUGUCGUGAGAUGUUGGGUUAAGUCCCGCAACGAGCGCAACCCUUGUCCUUAAUUGCCAGCAUUUGGUUGGGCACUCUAAGGAGACUGCCGGUGACAAACCGGAGGAAGGUGGGGACGACGUCAAG